rnacentral:lncRNA from 1 species
GCACAACCAUUAAGACCCUCAUCUAUAGUGGACUGGAACAAAGCACAGGUUAAAAAGAAGAAUGAAAACCCCUCAAGCCAGAUUUUAUGACUUUUUAUAUCACACUGAAAAGUCCAAUGAACUACAGAUUUCAACCAUGGAGAUUUGUGCCCUACUAUGAAACGGUGACUGUAACACAGAUUGAUGAAAGAUUCUGCAGGACGACAAAGGUUAAAGAUGUAGACCCGGAGCUAGAAGCCAGCACUGACACUGAUGGAGUGGACUGCGAUGAGAAUGCCCACAUUAUUGUCCUAUCCUCUGAUAACCAAUGUAAUAUGAAAACCGACUACAGAAGAAAGGAACAAAUUAAAUCCAUUAAUCAAGCAUAUCUCUGCUAAACAGUUGUUCGAAACUGAUGAACAAAUGAAAAAUUUACUGUUUGUUUUCAUGCUUGCAAGGAUUGGGGAAGAAAAUUAAUUAUAAGGUACUGGCCACACUAUCAGUAAAGUUUUUCUUGAGGAAACUAUUGCUUUGUCAAAGGACAAAUGAACCUCAUUAGGGAGAUUAGUUUCAGCUGGUAGUUUUGCAUUAGUACAAACUAAUAAUACACACUUCAAAAGAUACCCUGAGUAAGAUUAUGAAAAUUGAAAUCCAUUUGUUACUUCUUAAUUUACUAACUGUUAGAAAAUGACCACUCUAUUACUUAUCAUGAAACCAGAAGGAAAUCAAACACUGCUCACCUUUCAACUAAGUGCCUGAAAGAGAACUGUUGCAGUGUGGGCUUUGUGAGUGCUGCGAUGAUGAACUUACGCAUACAGGGGUUAUAACUUGGCCACGGCAUUUUACUCUUAGGUUGAAGCAUGUCAUGCAGAGCUCCAUGCCAAACGCAAUUUUUGAUAAGCUUCUUUGAAAUCCUUUUCUUUUCAAAUGUUUUAAAUGAAUUGGACAAAUAGCAAACUGACAUCUGAUAUUCUGAAUUCCCCUUAAAUCUAUACAGAGCAAGAACAGAAAAGAGAAAACGCUACUUUGCUAUCAAUCCUGUAUGGCCAGUGCACUGAGGCUCCUAAGCUGGCCACAGUGAGUGCAGUCCAGCUUCAAUGUUCAUUGAAUCCCUGGCCUUUCUGUCAAGGCAGCUAAGAACAGAGCCAAUCACUGCUCUCGGUGACGGGGAGUGCUUGGCUGCAGACACACGUCUUCCAAAACCUGGAGUGAGACCAGUCUCAUUCCAAAGAGUGUAUAAAUCAGCUGUGAAAUAAUAAUGACUUUUUUGGGUUCUACUGACCCGGCCUGGAUUCAGACUGCUGACCCAGAAAAGAAAGGCUUCACACAUCCCAUUAGCAGUCCUUUCAGCCAUUGAAGACAUCCCCAUCCAAUUCUGACUUUCUUUCCUUUACAGCAGUCUUGCUCUUUUUUACGGGCAUGUAAACCAAAUUGACGUUUACUUACUGCUUUUGUUUGGUUCCUUGAUGUAACUUCUCUAAUUUAACAGCAGCUUUCCAGGCAUAGCGUUUGAAUGAAUCAGGCCAAAUAACAUUAAAGUUCACUUUCUCAAAGCUUAAACUCUGUUACCGAGAAAAGAUGGGGGUAGAGUUUUAAAGUAUUCUUCUUAGUAUAAAACUAAACGUUUUUCUCUAGACAUAUUGUCUCGUGAUAUUUUUAAAAGCCAGCAUUAUUUUUUUUUCAGGAAAGUUAAGUCAGUCUAUAACAGUGAUUCCACGGUUUACCCUGUUGUCCUGGAGUGGGUAGGAGCUUUCAGGAGUAGCUAAGGGUUUUCUUUUUCCAAAGUAAGUGUGUCAAGUUGAAAGAAAAUUACAGGUUGUGGGACUGAGAAGUUAGAUAAUAUAAGGGCUCUUCUAAUGAAAAAAAAAAAUCCAAAUUUGCAAAUACUAAACAGAUGUCUUAGUUUGAGUUUUCCGAAGCAAAUUCCAAGAGGAGAAUAUGGGUACAAUUUGCUUAUAUGAGAAGUGAUUCCAGAAGCACAACGAAAUCAUGAAGUGGUGACAUGGAGACGGAAGAAAGCCAAUAAAAGGGUGGUAAACAAUGAGGAAUACCACUCUGAGCAAUUGGGGCUCAGUCUUGCUGUGGGGCCCUCUGGAAGACAUUUUAGAUAACGCCUCAGGGUGCCAAACCAGGAGGCAAACACUGGAGUGUAUACUACUCCUAUUCCUAACAGACUGAGGAUUGUUCCUGGGGGUAGUAAUUUCCCAGCAUUUCCAGCCUUCUCUGUCUUUGCAUAUGUUCAUGGGCAGUGUAUAUUCCUUAGAAAACCCUAAGGAAGGGAAAGGCUUAGGUGGAAGCCAUAGACGUGUACAGGAGCCAUCCAGCAAAGCCCCCGUUGAGCUCCAGUGUAAGCUUAGGGUAGAGAAGGAUACUAGAAACAUGUGACAGCUUCUCCACUAGAUAUCAAAUUGAAUAUUUAAUUAAAUAAAUCACAACAAAUCCCAAAUAUUAAAAGAUGACAAAUGUGGUCAUUUCAUACUCACCAACAUGAAGGUCGGUAUGACAGAGGAGAAGUCAGGAGAGGUGUGAUAACAGGCCUAAAUGACUGCUGCCAAGAAUCUUAUUGUUGCAAUAGUAAAAUAAUAAAGAUAAUGACAAUAAUACCUUAUGAGCACACUGCUACAGUCUUUCUCAGUGUCUCAAAAGAAAUCUGUGUGAGAGCCCCUCAAACGUGGGCUUCAAAAACUUCUUGGUAAAUUUCCCAUGGCUGCUAUUACUGAGUUUCUCUAAUAUCCUAUGUAUGUGUAGCUCUGAAAUUAAGUUGAAUAUCAUUUUUCAAAGCAUUUCUGAACAGCAAGAAUAACAACAAUGAAAAAUAGAAAAAUCACUCAAAACAUUUAUUUUAAUAUAUGCACAUACUUAUGAUAAUUGAUAAGCCAUAAUUUUUUACAGCCUGGUUUAUUAUCCCAGGUGCUACUGACAUUUUGAACUAAAAAGUCCUUUGGUCAGAAACAGGGGGGCUGUCCUGUGCAUUUUAGGAUGUUUACAAAUAUUAAACAGAUGCCCUAGUUUGAGUUUUCCAAAAGGAAACUCCAGGAGGAGAAUAUGGGCACAAUUUGCUUAUAUGAGAAGUGAUUCCAGAAGCACAACAAAGCCAUGAAGUGGUGACUUGGAGAAGGAAGACAGCCAAUAAAAGGGUCAUAAACAAUAGGGAAUAGGUGACACGGAGAAGGAAGACAGCCAAUAAAAGGGUCAUAAACAAUAGGGAAUACUAUCCUGAGCAAAUUAUCCCUGACCUGUCCCCACCAGAUACUGAUACAUGUACCAGUACUACUAGAUACACAUCUUCCCCAGUUUAAAGAAAUAAAAGAAAGUCUCCAAACACUGACAAAUGUAAAAAACAACAACAAAAAAACACCUCCUGUUAGAACGACUGAUUUAGAACACAGAAAAACUUGCAAACUUAAAAAAGCAGUUCAUUUGCUUAUACACCUUAUGUCUCCCUCUAUGCUACUUAUGGAUUUAGAAAAAUUCUCUAAUUCAGUCUCUUUUAGUAUUCAAACAAGCAUAGUAUUGUGUAAAUGAGAAAAUGUUCUUAACGACUAAACCAUAAAAUAUUGUUAAGGAUAUCAAGAAAUGAAGAUACUUUAAGGAGCUACCUAUCAUCCCACAUUAAUCGACAUACCAGAAAACAAAGAAUAUAUCCUAUAUUUAAACCAUUCUAAAAAAGAACCCAGGUAUCCUACUAAUUAUUUAACAUUGUAAGUAACAAUGGUAAGUUAAGUGCAAUGUUUAAUAUCUCUCUGGUACAAUAUAAGAUUGUUAUGAUAUGUGAUAUGUAUAUAAAAAGUAUUUAAUAUGAUAUUGACUAAUAAAAAUAGUCUUUUUAUCUUCUGCAAAACCAUAAGUGUAUGGAAAACAUUACAUUAAGCUUAACUAACAUUUAAAAAAACAACUACAGUGGAAGGAUCACUGAGCCCGGGAGGCGGAGCUUGCAGUGAGCCAAGAUCACACCACUGCAUUCCAGCCUGGGAGACAAAGUGAGACCCUGUCCCCUCUAAAAAACAAAAACAAAAAACAAAACUACCGAAUUCUAUAAAACUUUUCCAAGCUCUUAAAAGUAAGCACUUUUACACAAGAUAAACUUUCUGCCCUCAAGAAUAAACAAUCAAGUGAAGGAAGAAAUACAAGUUUGUGGAUUAUAGCAAUAUAAUUCAAUUUUAUAGUGCCAAAUAAUGCUAUUUCUCCCUAAUAGUAUUCUGCGAUAAGAGAUCCUUGGAGAUGUUAAGAGGUGACAAGAAAAAGUUAAAUAAUUUUACACAAUGGAAAGCAUAUUCUCUUCUCAGAGACAUUCACAUUGUUAUAUAAAAGGCUCUGGAAGGUUUGUCAGAAGAAACGUAUAUUAAAGUUUUUCUAACCCAACAUUUUACAAGUAAUUUGAGCAGAGAACGAUUCUCUCACAACAAGAUCAAGAUGUGGUGGCUCAUUAAAUCAGAAAUAAAUGUAUUAAAUAAUUUAAUUUCCACUGAAAGAUGAGAAUACGCAUAAAGAGAGAAAUUCGAAUUUUAAGUGGACAUUAUAAAAUGGGGAAUAUUUUGCCGUAGAGGAAUGUGGAUGGAAACCACCAAAGGUAUAAGAAAUACCAAGAUUAGAAAAUGCUGGUCAGGCUGGGCACUGUGGUUCAUUCCUGUAAUCCCAACACUGGGAGGCCAAGGAGGGAUGAUCACUUGGGCCCGGAAGUUCAGGAUCAUCCUGGAAAAUAUGUCAAGACUUCACCUCUACCAGAAAUUUACAAAUUAGCUGGGCAUGGUAGAAUGUACCUGUAGACCUAGCUACUUAGGUGGAAGAAUCACUUGAGCCCAGCAGUUCAAGGUGACAGUGAACUACGAUCAGGCCACUUGAUUCCAGUCUUGGCAACAGGGUAAGACCUUGUCUUUAAAAAAAUAAAAAGCAAAAAAUAAAAUGCUAGUUAUAUUAGGAAAAAGCCUGACUGAGGUCCAAAUGCAUGUGGAAGACUGUUUCAGCAAAGGUAACAUCCCUCUAUGCCACAGCUUGAUUGAAUUUUAAAUAAAGAUGAUGAUAAAAUGUACAUUUAUUAAGGAGAUAAUUGAUGUAAUGUGCUCAGUACAAGUUUUGGCAUAUUACAAGCAUUCAAUAAACCCUACAUCUUAUUAUCAUUAAAAUAUUAAUACAUAUUGUCUGAGCAUCACUACUUUUUUCUGGAAAAUAGGGCUAUAAAUACACUGGAAUCCUCACAAAGCUAUUACAAAUUUCAGGUGGUCUGCUCUAUGUAAAAGUGCUGGUAAGUGGAAAGUGCUACCUAAGUGCAAAAUGUUACAUUUUAUUUAAAGUGCUACUUAAGUGAAUAAUACUAUGUUUUAUUAGAGUAGUUUGUAUUUCUGUCUACAGUUGCUCAAUGAGUCAAACUGUUUUCCUCUUUUACCCUGUAUUGUUUGGCAUGGAAAUUCGAUUUUCAGCUGUAGGUUUCACUGAAACAUCAUUUAUUGGAAGGGUGUCAAGGUAACUCAGAUUUGAAGGAAAUGCUGAAGGAACCAGGGACCCUCUGGGAGCCUCACUGAGUAUAAACCAGGCCUUUAACCUGGCAAAAACUCUCACCGUCUUUUUCCAUCUCAUCUCUGCUUCUUAAAGUGGGUCACCUUCAUUCAUUCAGAUUUUCCUUAGAGGCAUGGAAACUGGUGUCUCUGAGACUAUAUUGUCCCAACUCCAGGACCUGAGAGAGGGGAUUUCCCUGUGAACUGUGCUUGUAAAACUCUAGGUGAAAGAAUUUGACUAUCUUUAUCACAUUUCUAUUCUUGUACUGAUUCAUUCAUUCAGUAAUAUUGUAUAAAAACCUAAUAAUUUCCAGGUCAUUUUUUCAGCCUAGCUAUAUAGAAGUGAGCAAGGAAAAGUGUCUUUCUUUGCCUAUUUUAAAUUAUAAUGUGUGAAGUAGAGAACCAGCAAAGAGAAAAGAAAAGAAAAUUUAAGUGGAAGUACAGUGAGGAAUUUAAUACAAAAUAGUGUGACAUGAAGAGAUGGAGUUGAAAGCAGGAUGCUUUUAGAUAGCCAGAAGAAUAGAAGCACUGCGAUGGGCCACGCCAGUCCAGUCAGGGUUUUCUGAAAGAGGGUGAAUCUGAAAUAUAAAGUUGUAGUGAAGAAGAAGCAGUUCCCUCAAAGGAAAGGGUGUGGCUAUCUCCCAAUUUGUAAUCCCUAAAGACAUGAUAUUGAGAUUUAUGGUGUGUCUCUGUGUCCCCACUCAAAUCUCAUGUCAAAUUGUAAUCCUUAGGUAUCAGGGGAGGGUACUGGUGGGGGUGACUGGAUCAUGUUGGUGGAUUUCCCCCUUGCUGUUCUUGUGAUAGUGAGUGAGUUCUCACAAGAUUUGAUGGUUUAAAACUGUGUGGCACUUCCCCCUUCUUUCUCUCUCUCCUGCUCUGCCAUGGUAAGAUGGGCUUGCUUCUCCUACACCUUCUGCCAUGAUUGUAAGUUUCCUGAGGCCUCUCAGUCAUGCUCCCUGCAGAACUGUGACUCAGUUAAGCUUCUUUUCUUCAUAAAUUACCCAGUUUCUGGUAGUUCUUCAUAGCAACAUGAGAAUGGAAUAAUACAUUGAGUAAAGACAACAUAGAUGUCUACUACAUCCUCUCCUUCUGUUUAUUUAUUUAUUUUUUAACUACCUUAGCUGUAAAAUUACAUGAAAUCAGGUUGGGCAUGGUGGCUUACGCCUGUAAUCCCAGCACUUUGGGAGGCCAAGGUGGGUGGAUCACUUCAGAUUAGGAGUUCAAUACCAGGCUGGUCAACAUGGUGAAACCUCAUCUCUACUAAACAAUACAAAAAUUAGCUGGGCAUGGUGGUGCACACCUGUAGUCCCAGCUACUGGGAGGCUGAGGCGGGAGAAUCACCUGAAUCCAGGAGGCGGAGGUUGCAGUAAGCUGAGAUUGCGCUACUGCACUCCACCUUGGCAACAGUGUGUAACUCCGUCUCAAAAAAUAAAAUAAUAAAAUAAAAUAAAAUUAUGUGAAUUCAAGUUUUGGAUAAGAAGUGAUUUAAAAAGUCACUUUAUAGAUGGCCUCUUAGCCAUCAUAACUAGAGAUUGCAUCUACAGAAAAUGUUGCUUAAGCAUUUGGUAAUUUAGUAGAUUAUAGAACAAUUCUAACACUUCAAACCUUUUAUUCAGGAAGUAAUAAAAUUGUUAAACAAUAAUCCUGAGAAGUCACUGGAAGUUGUGGAAAAAAGUACAUUCUCUAAAAAUGUAUGACAAAAUAAUAUAUAAUGUAUUUGUUGGAACAUAUUUAUUGCAUAACUAAAAAUGUGAAACUAAGCCUUGUGAUAAUGACCGCAAUAGUAAAAAAUUAAUCUAAUGAUCAACUCAUAUUCAAAUUUAGCCAAUAAUAUUACCAGUUACUUUGUACAAAACUUUUGAGGUUGCCAAUAAACUAAUUUUAUAUUUAACGUUUAUUUUUGGAAAUGUUUUAUCUUUCUAUCAAUGGAGUUGCUAAAGUUUGAAAACGGCAGAAAAAGUACAAAGAGAAAUAAUCAUUUCCUCCUCUGUGCUGCCUCUGAUCUCAUACACAUGAUUUUAAUGUGUUUUUAUUUGUUUACAGUUCUGUCUCUCCUACUGGCCUGGAUGUUCAUUAGAGCUGGUACUAUUUACGUUCAAUUUUUUAUCUCUAAUGCUGAGUUUAGUAAUGCUUGACACAUCAUCACUGGUUAAUUAAUAUUUAUUAAAUAAAUAAAUGAGCCCA